CUGCAUAUUGUCUACGAGGGCCUCAGUGGCACCUCCACUGCUAGAGACCGUAAGUGCUGUUACAUUUGUACAGAUCGAUAGACAUAGUAGUAACUCGCAUAGCUCUUAAGGUCUUUUCAGUUUAAAUGGUUGGAACACAGCGAGAAGCCACUUCAUUCCAACACAGUAGUUUUAGGUGCAAACUGGCCACGAUUAGGUUUACUAUUUUUCACCCUCUGCAAAUGUGGUCAUGUGGCAGACAAAUCACAGGGUACAAAAUAAAGAAAUCCCUCAAGCCACUCUACCACCUAGCACCACAGGCAAAGAUCAACAGGUCAGAGUACAUAACAUGAUAUGGCCUUGGCAGAGCUGGCUUCUUCUCCAGACUUGGAGCCAUUAGGGAAGAUCUAAGCCCUCUUGUAUAGGAGAUGUCCAGCUGGCUGCUAAAUCCACUCCUUAGCCAGUGUAACACCUUGAGUGGAGCAGGUGGAGUUGGGAGCUCACUCUUCUCUUCCCCAACUCGAAAGAUUUCUCUCUGUGUUAAAAUACUCCCUGGAGUCUCACUAUAAAUGUGUCACUGGCACUAUAGACAUAUAAUAUAUGCCAAUUACACUUAAAACAUCACACACACAUACCUUACAGAGCAUACUACAUACCACACACAUAAACAUCGACCUUUAUGAAGGAUUCCUCGGUCUCCAUCGUGUGGGUACAAGGCAGGACUGAGCCCCCGUUCUUGUCCAGCUCUCACCUCAGCACUCUGCCCGUCUGUCCCAGCCUCAGAUGAAUCUUGUAAACUCCAUUAGGCUUCUGUGUUCUGGGACCACAGGGCUGACCUCAGCAUUAGACCUCACCAGUACUACUGCCGAUUGUACUAGUGACAUCUAAUAAUACUGCCUGGCAGUGCAUAGGUCUGCAGACAGUGGAUAUGGUUUGAGGAGGAGUGCAUUUAAGCAUAUUUGGCACAACAGAGGUGAGUUCUAAUGAGCGAUAACUUGGUAAAAACAUCUGCAGCUUUGUCAGUCUUGGUGCAGUCGAUACUUGACUAUGUGACCAAAUGAGGUCCAAAAAUAAGUGACUCCCAGGAAAACUCCAGGGGGAGACUUUUAUGUCUCUUUAAGAGUCACCCAGAUACCUCUCCCAUCAUCUGAUCACCACAUUCGCACAAUCUGUUCUAUCAAUGUUUUCCUACAGAUCGAAUUAUAGAAGCAAGUUCACCAGAGAGAUGUCCCCGUCCUCUGUAUUCCCAGGACUGUCCAGAGGAGAAUGUCCUAGAGAACCAUCAGGUUGAAAAUCUGUUUGAUUUUAAGGUUGAGGUUAUAGAUGAAGCAGAAGAGGAUACGGAUAUAUGGGGCGAUCAGCAGUAUGAACUCAUGGAAAGAAAUCCUUCUGAGAGUCCUCAUCCUCUGAAUUCACAGGAGGAUCCAGAACAAAAUUAUUUAGGUUUUACUACUGAACCCCAACUUGAGAAUGAUCAGAGAAUUUACACAAGAGUAAAGCCAUAUUCAUGUUCAUUAUGUGGGAAAUGCUUUACAAACAAAUCAAGUAUUGUUAGACAUGAGAGAAUUCACACAGGAGACAAGCCAAUGGCAUGUUUAAAAU